GAUGAAGAACGUAGCGAAAUGCGAUACUUGGUGUGAAUUGCAGAAUCCCGUGAACCAUCGAGUCUUUGAACGCAAGUUGCGCCCGAAGCCAUUAGGCCGAGGGCACGCCUGCCUGGGCGUCACACGUCGUUGCCCCCCCAUCUACUCCUUCGGGAUUGCGGGGGGCGGAUGAUGGCCUCCCGUGCGCCUCGCCGCGCGGUUGGCAUAAAUGCCAAGUCCUCGGCGACGCACGCCACGACAAUCGGUGGUUGCGAAACCUCGGUUGCCCGUCGUGUGCGGUCGUCGCGCAUCGAGGGCUCGAAAAAAUUGCCGGGUUCCGGCUCGGCUAUCAACGCGACCCCAGGUCAGGCGGGGUUACCCGCUGAAUUUAAGCAUAUCAAUAAGCGGAGGA
rnacentral:misc_RNA from 1 species